GUGGCCGCCUCUCCUGCUUGACUUAUUCACUAAGCCUCAUCUGGAGUUUUGUGCAGAGUAAACCAGUGGUGCUUCAUGGGGCCAUCCAAGGCACCCGGCUUGUUCCAGAUGACAGGUAAGUCACAUAGAAUGCUGGAGGAGAGUGCUAGGAGUCGUAAAUCACAUAGAUUUCAUGCAUUAGCUGGGAAGCACUCUAGAUGCGUCAAGGCGCCAUGACACCCAGGCCCCGCCCCC